AACGAACGCUGGCGGCAUGCCUAACACAUGCAAGUCGAACGAGACUUUCGGGUCUAGUGGCGCACGGGUGCGUAACGCGUGGGAACCUGCCCUUAGGUUCGGAAUAACUCCCCGAAAGGGGUGCUAAUACCGGAUAAUGUCUUCGGACCAAAGAUUUAUCGCCUUUGGAUGGGCCCGCGUUGGAUUAGCUAGUUGGUAGGGUAAAGGCCUACCAAGGCGACGAUCCAUAGCUGGUCUGAGAGGAUGAUCAGCCACACUGGGACUGAGACACGGCCCAGACUCCUACGGGAGGCAGCAGUGGGGAAUAUUGGACAAUGGGCGAAAGCCUGAUCCAGCAAUGCCGCGUGAGUGAUGAAGGCCUUAGGAUUGUAAAGCUCUUUUACCCGGGAUGAUAAUGACAGUACCGGGAGAAUAAGCUCCGGCUAACUCCGUG
rnacentral:rRNA from 1 species